rnacentral:lncRNA from 1 species
UUGCUAGAAACAUAGACAAUGUAAGUAGCUCAUGUAUGCCUAAGAUAUUACUAACAGUCAUCAAGAAGGUAUAAAUAGAAAAUACGUUUAGGCAUAACAAUGACUUAAAUGCUAUUUACGAUUUUUCAUAUUUAUUAAUGAUCCAGAAAUCUAUAUUCCAUUGACUGUGACUUUCAUGCCUAGAAAUACAUCUUAGGCUAUUAAGUACAUUUAAAUAUUAAGUAACAAAAUAUUUACUUUAAAAAAUUAGUGUUAAGACCACUCUCUGCCUUGGAAAAUUCUUGGCAAAUGGAAUUACUAACGAAGCAUCAUUUUUAUACCAUCGUUAGAAAAGCUUACUAUACGUAAGGAAGAGAGUUUCGUUCUGACUUUAUGGCUCACAAUAUUAAUAGCUGCCUUCAACAAUGUCAUUAUUUAAAGCUCACGUGUUUUAAAGUGUUUCCAAAUCAGAUAUAUAAAUGUAGACGAGUGACACAAAUGAAAAUCCGGUCGCAGACUAAUAAACGUGCCUUUUUGUAGCUCAUAAAAGAAGAUCAUCUAACCUUGUCUUACGUGCUGUAAAUUCAGGUAUUAAUGUUAUGAGAGAUGAUUGUGUAACUAAGCAGUAAUUUGACAUACCUAGAGUAUCAGAACCAUACAUCGUGGCCGUCCUUAGUUCUGCUUUUGCGAAAGAUGAAUGGAGCUUUGGGAUGUUUUCAGAUCAUCUGGCACCGUAAACAAUGACAUUCCUUAAGGCAAGUGGCUGACAACACAGGCUUACUUGGCGGAAGAUAGCUCUCCACUUUCAUCAAUGGCACACUUUAACUCUCUUUAUUAAAAGAAUUUCUCAGAUUUAAAAAGCUCUGGGUUAAUUAACUACCAUUACUUAUUUCAGCAUUAAAUAUGCAGUCUGUUAGCCUUGGCUUUUUUGGAAAAAACUCAUGAUGAACCCAUAAAUUAUUGCUGUUACUAACUCUUAUACUACGUGGAGGUCUCUGCUCUUUUAGUUUCCGCUUAGAAGGACCCUGCUCUGAAGGAACAGGAAGAUAAUUUUCUGAUUAAGCUUUGUUAUAACCUAAUAUCUCUACAUAAGAAGAGGAUGAAAACAAGUUACUGAGAUAAAUAACUAAAAAACUGAUUAGAAUCAGAAGAAAUGUGAAGAAAUUUUUAAAGACAUUAAUGUGAUUAAACCUUGGUAUUGAUGCUCAUACUUUGAUAUAAAGUUACCUUUAAUAAUGCAAGGCAAUCUGAAUAUUCUAAAAUUCAAUAAUCAACUAUUCAUAGCUUUUAAUUUGGGGAGUUUUCUAAUAACUUCCAAUUACAAUGAUUCAAUUCAUUCAAUUAUUAUUGUAAAUUAGCAUAGAAACUAGAAAGAAAAAAAAGGAAGUGAAAAAUUGCAAUGGGUUCUACUGCAUCUACUGGUACAUUCAAGUCAAUAAAAGUUAUUUGUUAAGUAUUAGUUUUUCUGUGGAGAGCAGAUGCAGGGGGUAAGAGGCAAGUUCUUGAGGCCAAGCAGAACAGUUAAGUCUUCUCUUUUUAGCGGCUAUAGCAACACAGAUCUCAGUAGAAACUAUUCAAACACUGUUGGUCGUAAGAAAGAGAAUAUAAAGUUGCCGUCCUGGCUCAGUGGUUAAUGAACCUGACUAGUAACCAUGAGGUUGUGGGUUCAAUCCCUGGUCUCCCUCAGUGGGUUAAGGAUCUGGUGUUGCUGUGAGCUGUGGUGUAGGUGGCAGAUGUGGCUUGGAUACCACAUUGCUGUGGCUGUGGUGUCGGCCAGUGGCUACAGCGCCCACUGGACCCCUAGCUUGGGACCCUCCAUACGCCAUGGGUGCAGCCCUAAAAAGACAAAAAACAAAAAAAAAAAGAGAGAACGAGAAUAGGAGUAAACAGUUCGGUUGUACUAAUAUAUCACUCUACAAAGAAAAACCCUGUCUUAAUAGGACUGGUUAAAUAGUGUGUCAGUCCAGUAAUACAUCAAUAACUUGAUUGAUUCAUUGAUAUCUUUCGACAAAGAUUAUGAUCAUGUUAUUUAAUGAUUUCCUUUGAAGACGCCAGGCUAAUUCCUUAAAAACAAACAAAAAACCUGAUUCUUUUAUAGCAAAUGCCAUCUCUCUACAAGUUAUGAGGAUAAUAUUUUCAAUAAUAAUUCUUCUGUAUAUUGCUUUUCGAGCUACCAGUACACCUUCAUGGUUGGAAUGAAUGUACACAAACAUCAGAAGUACCAAGAAAAUUUGGUUUUGCAACUUAGUCAUUACUCUGAAUAAUAAGUAGAAGAAUUUAUCAAUAAAACUUGUUCCCUAUUAAGUUAGGAGAAAAGCUUUUCAGUGUGUCCAGAAAAAUCCUCUAACAUAUUCUUGGUCAAUGCUAAUAUUUUCAUUAAGAAUUUUAUGAUUAAGUGCUCCUUUUAGUUUAGAUUUCUUAAAAUGUUCACAGAGCUACCUUCCUCUCCCACACAGGGCAAAGUUUUCUACCAGUCUAUGGCUGUACUACACCCAAAUUCUGUCACAUUUGAAAAGAUUAGUAAAUAUUAAGGAAAAGAGUAAUAAAUCAUUAGUUUUACAGCCUGCCUAACAAACACAAGCCAGCAAAAAUUUUUAGAUCUAUGCUUAAGAAAAUAGCACUGAUCAUCAUCUAUGGCAUUUAUUGGGAAGUCAGAAUCCAAACAAACUUAAUUCCGCUGAAUUUAUAUACAACAUUUACAGCCAACAUCCUCCAUCUUUUAUCAGCCACCAACAAGGAGAAUAUAUUUCAUUUCAUAUAAAACAUCAUCACCUCUUAAAAAAAGAAUAUAGUCUUAUUUGUCUUUAUAGCCUGAAUUCACUUCCAAGCAAUCAUGUCUAACACUCAACCUCUGUAUUAACUUCACACAUUUUAUUACAUUUCAGGGGGGAAAUACUUAAAUAUUUGGGCUGGAGUAAAGCUAAUGUGUUUUCUAAGUGACUUGGAGAAAAGAAAAAGUCUGAGCUUGGCAGCUGGACGUUCCAUCCCCUCUCGAUCUGUUUCCAGGGAGGUGUCUGCCGCCAGCCGAGAGAACACAGCAGUAGGCCUUCGGUUUUCUCCCGAUGUUCAUCUGCAAAUUAUGAUGUUGAGCCAAUCAAUGCUGAGGACAUUGCUAAGCAAUCCGCCGCUGUUUGCUUCUAAUUGGUCAACUGUCUUCCAAAAAUAACAUCUUCGGGCUUCACAACACCCUAGUCAUAGAGCCAUUAAGGAAUGAAUGUCUGUACUGUAUGGGAGGACCUCUAUGAAUAAUGAAUAGGGCUCUAUUUUUCCUGGGAAACAAACAUGUGCGCACUGGUGUGUUCGUGGUAAUGAAGAGCAUUGUGGGUGUGUGGAGCAUAGAAGGACAUUCCAUCUGCUCCGAUGUCCACCUUCAUUUCAGUAGGUCACUGAGUUUAAAACCCCAUGGAGGCCCAAACACCCAUAUUCUAAACGUGUUACACAUUGCCUGGCUUCGGUGCUGCUUUUACAAGUUCUUAAAUGAUGAUUUAGUACAAAAAUGGAAGAGAUGACAGAUCAUGUUACAGUCCCAAAGGGACAAGACUGGCUUACAUAAAUUUGAGAGGAAAAGAAAAGAACAUUUGAACAUGGGAGUUAAGAAACUCGAAUUUCAUCUUUAUUUUAAACAUCAUGAAAACAGAGUUGAACCAGGAUUCUCCUGGGCACACAUGAAAAGUUCUGCUAUGCAAACUGUAACCAAAUUGAGAUAUGUGUGCAAGAGGUAUUUCGUGAAAUAACUCAUGAAAAGUAAGAUCUAAGAUUGUAAAAUGAUAAUGACCUUGCAAUGUGUUUAAAACUAUUUGGCUUUUCCUUUAGCAAGAUCAUGAAAGGGCUUAAUGUAUUUUGUAAAUUACUUCCAUAAUGAUUUCACUUACAAAGAAUAUAAUUUGCUAGUCUAUUUUCAUAAUGAAUGAGAGCUUAAUGAAUCACACAUACUUCCCCAUUCAACAGAAAUAUGGGGCAUCACAGCAUUGAAUUGAAAUAUUCGUUAUAAGAAGUCUUUGGGCUUUGGCUAUAAGAUUUCUAAAGUUCUUUUUUUCUGUCUUUUUUUUUUUUUUUUCUUGGAGGAUAGAGCAUGUUUCUGUUCAGGUUGACUUAAAGGAUUAGUUAACCAUCAUACAAAAUUACUGUACAUUGCAAUUGGUAGCAGCUGAAAUGGAAAAUUUUAUAUUUGUGUAAUGGUUAUGAAUUUUCACAGGCCACAAACUCAGGUGUAAGGAAUGGAACUGCCUUUAUUUUCCUUUAAUGGAACUUAAUUUCUAUUUUAAGUGUCUCUUCUACUCAGCAGCAGAAAAUCUAAUCUUGCCAAUUCAAGGGAAAUGGAGUUGCCUAAGAAUUUUCUCAGACACGUUUCCCUCCCAGGGAGGGCUCAUUUUUCCCACGUGGAGAUGGUAUGAUUCAGACAUCAGUAAACACAGAUCAUCUGGUUGUGGGUCAUUGUUAUCUUCCAGGAUGGCAUCCUCUGAGUUAUAAAUAGGUCUUUUCCCUACUCCCUGAGUGCAUGGUCCACACCACGUGGUCCGCCAUGUUGUCCUAGAAUCCUGCACAUCCACCGGUGUGUGCAAACUAUCAGUGGUGAUAGCUUGCUUUCUCUCAACUAAUCUCUGCCCCUUUGUUAAUUGCACAAGGAAUCCUGGGUGGUCCUCCUGUACCUCCCUGCCUUUCCUCACCUCACCCUUGCAUUCUUGUGUAGGUUUCCCUGCUUCCAUUCCAUUGCAGUGUAAGGAGUAUCAGAGAGAUUACAGGAGAUAGUGUCUCCAGACAAGAGAGUCAGAAUACACAUCUCCACCCCCUGGGAACCCCAGUGCUAUCAGGGUUCAGCCUCCAGAGAGGACACGGGGAAAUUCCAACAUCCACUGGCUUCCCCAGCCUUCCCUCUUCCCUCACCCAGCAUUUCCACUUAGAAUAAGAUGAGAGGGACUUCCCUUGUGCAGCGCAGUGGAAACAAAUCGGCUAGUAUCCAUGAGGAUGUGGGUUUGAGUCCUAGCCUCGCUCAGUGGAUCAAGGAUCCAGCGUUGCUGUGAGCUGUGGUGUAGGUCGCAGACGGGGCUAGAAUCUGGUGUUGCUGUGGCUGUGGCAUAGGCCAGUGGCUACAGCUCCGACUGGACCCUUAGGCUGGGAAUUCUCAUAUGCUGCGGGUGUGGCCC